AGUGAACGCUGGCGGUAUGCCUAACACAUGCAAGUCGAACGGCAGCACAGUAAGCGCUUGCUCUUACGGGUGGCGAGUGGCGGACGGGUGAGGAAUACAUCGGAAUCUACUUUUUCGUGGGGGAUAACGUAGGGAAACUUACGCUAAUACCGCAUACGACCUACGGGUGAAAGCAGGGGAUCUUCGGACCUUGCGCGAUUGAAUGAGCCGAUGUCGGAUUAGCUAGUUGGCGGGGUAAAGGCCCACCAAGGCGACGAUCCGUAGCUGGUCUGAGAGGAUGAUCAGCCACACUGGAACUGAGACACGGUCCAGACUCCUACGGGAGGCAGCAGUGGGGAAUAUUGGACAAUGGGCGCAAGCCUGAUCCAGCCAUACCGCGUGGGUGAAGAAGGCCUUCGGGUUGUAAAGCCCUUUUGUUGGGAAAGAAAAGCAGCAGGUUAAUACCCCGCUGUUCUGACGGUACCCAAAGAAUAAGCACCGGCUAACUUCGUG
rnacentral:rRNA from 1 species